rnacentral:misc_RNA from 1 species
GAUGAAGAACGCAGCGAAAUGCGAUAAGUAAUGUGAAUUGCAGAAUUCAGUGAAUCAUCGAAUCUUUGAACGCACAUUGCGCCCCUUGGUAUUCCGAGGGGCAUGCCUAUUCGAGCGUCAUUAUCACCCCUCAAGCACGGCUUGUGUGUUGGGCCUCCGUCCUCCUCCCGGGGGACGGGCCCGAAAGGCAGCGGCGGCACCGCGUCCGGUCCUCGAGCGUAUGGGGCUUCGUCACCCGCUCUUGUAGGCCCGGCCGGCGCUUGCCGACACAUCAAUCUUUUUUCCAGGUUGACCUCGGAUCAGGUAGGGAUACCCGCUGAACUUAAGCAUAUCAUAAGCGGAGGA